GGAGGCAGCAGUAGGGAAUCUUCCGCAAUGGACGAAAGUCUGACGGAGCAACGCCGCGUGAGUGAUGAAGGUUUUCGGAUCGUAAAGCUCUGUUGUUAGGGAAGAACAAGUGCAAGAGUAACUGCUUGCACCUUGACGGUACCUAACCAGAAAGCCACGGCUAACUACGUGCCAGCAGCCGCGGUAAUACGUAGGUGGCAAGCGUUGUCCGGAAUUAUUGGGCGUAAAGGGCUCGCAGGCGGUUUCUUAAGUCUGAUGUGAAAGCCCCCGGCUCAACCGGGGAGGGUCAUUGGAAACUGGGAAACUUGAGUGCAGAAGAGGAGAGUGGAAUUCCACGUGUAGCGGUGAAAUGCGUAGAGAUGUGGAGGAACACCAGUGGCGAAGGCGACUCUCUGGUCUGUAACUGACGCUGAGGAGCGAAAGCGUGGGGAGCGAACAGGAUUAGAUACCCUGGUAGUCCACGCCGUAAACGAUGAGUGCUAAGUGUUAGGGGGGAUCCGCCCCUUAGUGCUGCAGCUAACGCAUUAAGCACUCCGCCUGGGGAGUACGGUCGCAAGACUGAAACUCAAAGGAAUUGACGGGGGCCCGCACAAGCGGUGGAGCAUGUGGUUUAAUUCGAAGCAACGCGAAGAACCUUACCAGGUCUUGACAUCCUCUGACAACCCUAGAGA
rnacentral:rRNA from 2 species